GACGAACGCUGGCGGCGUGCUUAACACAUGCAAGUCGAACGAAGUGGCGAACGGGUGAGUAACGCGUAAUCAACCUGCCCUUCAGAGGGGGACAACAGUUGGAAUCGACUGCUAAUACCGCAUACUGAAGGAGGGGAUUGCGUCUGAUUCGCUAGUUGGAGGGGUCACGGCCCACCAAGGCGAUGUUCGGUAGCCGGUCUGAGAGGAUGAACGGCCACAUUGGGACUGAGACACGGCCCAGACUCCUACGGGAGGCAGCAGUGGGGAAUCUUCCGCAAUGGACGAAAGUCGGACGGAGCAACGCCGCGUGAGUGAUGAGGGCCUUCGGGUUGGAAAGCUCUGUUAAUCGGGACGCGGUACCGGAAUAGAAAGCCACGGCUAACUACGUGCCAGCCGCCGCGGUAAUAC
rnacentral:rRNA from 1 species